AUUUAGGAACGGAGGGAGUACAAAUGACCGAACGUGUAUGUCCAAGAUUAACCUAGGAUAAUUUGUGCCUUCUAGGAGCUCGAAGAAAUGCCCAUGUCCCAAGAGAGAAAGCAAUCCUGCAUGAAUUAUGUAUGUAUGGAGGUUUAACAAUAGGUUUGUUGUUAUGCAGUUUUUUUGGGGGUCCAUGGCUCUAGAGAUGUUCAUUUCUUGUGAAAAGUACUUGCCUAUAUAUGUGUAUCGGCUUUGAUGUGCACAAAUAAAAAAAUAAGAUUAGUUUACUGGGAGGCUAUUCAAUUAUGCUCCAUGUUUUAUUUGGCUGUUAUUUAAAGCAAUUGCUACUAUAUGGUGAUGUAGUACAAACCAAUGUUUUAAAUAGCGGGCUAUGCGAUUUAGCGGCUGCUCGGCCAGAAGUUAUGAAAAGCUAUAGCGGAGCUAUAACGAAGCUAAGCCCCAUUUAGCGUUUUUCAUAAAUCAUGAACAAUUGAGAAAAUAAGUAUAGAAAAAGACAUCAUAUAUAAUAUAUCACAUAUACUUAACAUAUAAAUAUGUUCGUACAUCAAAAUCCGAGCACCAAUCAGGUGUCUCAAUUAAAUAACCAAGCUUCGUACGAGUGCAUCAUAUAUAUCAGAAACAAGAACAAAAAAUAAUGCAGAAGGUUGGAUUUGUAUAGUGGCUUAGCGGGCUGAAUGGCUCCAAAUUUAGUGCUAUAGCGGGAAAUAGCGGGCUAUUAUCGUCAUUUUCAGUUUGGCGUUAAAAGUGCAUAGCUUCAGCGGGAGAGCUCUGAAAGGCUAUAACGGGGCUAUAGCUCCGCUAUAGCCGGCUAUUUAAAAUUUUGGUACAAACCUUGAGUAAUUGCAUAUUUUGUAGUUGAGUUUCAAUACUGAAGCUUAUGCCAAACCAGGUUCUGCCUGUUCUGAUGCUUAAUUGGUGAUUGACAGUCUUGGGCUUGGCGCCCAGGGUUAAAACUUGUUUUGGUUUCAUUCUAUACACAUCAAAAAAAAAAUUUAACAGAAGUAUUCUCUUGCUCAAGUGGUUUUUUAUAUUGAAUCAGUGUUACCUUUUUAGGAAGAUGGAGUGACAUUGAUGUUGAUACUCAGCUCCAGCAGCUAAAGUGAAAUCAAGCAUGCUCUGCUGAUACACAGAGCACAAGACAUGGACUUUAGUUCCUGGAACUGGCAAUCAGAGGGUAUCCGAGUGUACAUGAUGCCCCUGGGUGGGUGUCGGCGCGAGCUGGUGUGGUCCCGUCGUGGCUAUGUAGAUGGGGAGGCGGGGUGGAGGCUGGGACUGCAUCGAGAAAAAACAUAAAGAGCAAGACGGCAUGGUCAUGUGUGUGGCCUCGGCACAGCGUUGUACUGUGGCAUGGCUGUGUGUGUGACCUCGGUGCAGGGACAAAGAGUAGUCUUCGGAGCAGGGCAGCGGCACACACAAAUGAGCGGUGGCCCUCGAGGCUUGGGGGUUAAGCAGGUGCGCGAGUGGUACGCAUCUGAUUGUCACCGUCAGGUUCAUAGCGAUCCGUCAAAUUCGCUGUCAUUUGUUUUUACUUUACAAAAUCAUAUAUUCAUGGUUUAUCUCUUUUUAAGGAUCUCGUGGAAGUGGAGAGAGAAGCAUCAUGCUCAUGAAUUUGAAAACUGAUUUUGAGUUUGAACAAAGAAAAUUUACCAAAGAAGACAUCAAAGAAAUUAUAUUUAGGGAGAUACUGGAAUACCUCCCUCAACUUCUCAAGGAUUACAUGCACGGAUCUGAAAAUACUAACUGGCUAUGUCCUAUGUUUCUACCUUGACAUAUCUUGUAACUUUUUGCCUCCUAUUUUGCAUAUGCAGCAAUAUUCAUAGCUUAUGCCCUUGAAUCAGUAUUUGCCACUACUGACAAUUUGCAGAGGCAAUCUGCUCAGAGGAAGAUGGUGGAAAGAGCGGGCGAGUCGAGAGAAAGCUUUUUUUUUCUCCCAAGGUAAUUAACACUAUCAUAGUUCCAUCGAUUGUGAUUUGUUAUAUACACACCCAGACCACCCCACACCGCCACCAUGGUACACGGACCCGCUCACCGGCGAAGAGCAAAAGGCUCCUCCUUUUACCAUAAAACAUGCCCCUGGGUAGGAAGGUGGCCUAGCCGGCCACAAGCAAAAAUGGGAAGGUCGCUUGCAGACACCGGCCUCGCGGCAGCCACCACACCGCACCACCUGGGAUAAAGGUCACCGUCACACCCACCUAGCAACUCCAGUUUUCGGUGACGGUAAGGCCGGGAGGCCUCCUACAUCCCUUCCCGGAUCGCCCCUACUCCCAUGUGCCGGCCAUCCACGCACCCCCGCGCUGGACCUCCGUCACCAACAAAACAGGGGCAGUUACCGGCCUAUGCUCCAGGGACACAAGCAGAAGCACGGGAGGUCCUCCACCACCACUAGUAGAAAAAGGACUUUACGUGAGCCCCAUUAGUCCCGGUUUGAAAACGGACCAGCACUAAUGCCACCGCUAGUGCCGGUUCCAACGGCUAGUGGGGCGGCACUCUUUAGUCCCGGUUCGUUUUGAACCUAUAGUACCGGUUCGUGACACGAACCGGGACUAAAGGGGUGGUGGCAGGCCUAUGUCAGGCUGGGGCCCCACGAGCACCUUUAGUAUCGGUUCGUGUCACGAACCGGUACUAGAUAUGCAUCUUUAGUCGCGGUUGAUUAUACCAACCGGGACUAAAGAAGACCCUAUAUAAACCCUUCGUCCAGCCCGAGCCAUCUCUCUCUGUUUUCCCCUUUCCUCUCCUCUGUUCUUGCCCUUGCUCGAGCUCAUCCUCCAUUUUUGCCAAAAUUUGACAAGAUUUGGAGGCACCCCAUCCAUCCAAGUGUUCACAAAGGUUAGCAACUUUGUCCUUUCAUCUCUCAUUGCUAGAUUACCUCUUGCAUUGCUCUAUAAGCUAGUGAUUUGUGGGUUUUAGUUUGGGAUAUGCAUGUGGUAGUUUAUUUGAUUUAUAUGCAAUUUGAGCUCAAAUUAACUUCUUAGUUUGCAUGUGUAGGUGUGGUUAACUUAGUGCCUUCCCGUCCCGUCCUAACCACUGUCGAUCGCCCGCACCGUCUCGUCGCCGGCACCACCUUGGUAGAUAAUUAACCAUCGUAAAGUAGCAAUGACAGAAGAGGUGGACUUCAAUUUCUUUUUUUUUUUGCGGGGGGGACUUCAAUGUCAAUGACUUGGUCACACAGAGAGCAGGUAGCUUUAAGUCUGUCAGCAGUUGGCCGUCAGUUUUGGGAAAGAAGCCAUAUGAAAAAACUGUAUUUCCCCUCAGUUUUGAUGCGCCAUAUUGAGUUCAGGUCUGGCCGCUCGUUGGAUCCAAUGAAGCGGUAGAGUAUGUUUUCGUCGCAUUCCAAUUAAAAUGAUUUCAUCUCAUUUCUUUGUGGAGCAAAAUUCGGUAGAUGUACAUUCAUUUGAAAUCGACUUCAAACUCCAUGUGGUCUUUGAUGUAAGAAGGUCACAAAGAAACACACUUUCAUCUUAAAAUUUGAUAUGGUGAACAACCGAUUCAUUUAUUACACCCAACACUUGCAAAAUGCAA